ACUGAAUGAUGAAUUAAACCUAUACCAUCUUUCGACUGAGAAACAAUGCUGUGAAUAUUAUACUGAUACUAAUU
rnacentral:snoRNA from 1 species